UACAGAGGUCUCAAGCGUUGUUCGGAUUCAUUGGGCGUAAAGGGUGCGUAGGUGGCUCUGUAAGUCGGGUGUGAAAUUUCGGAGCUUAACUCCGAAACUGCAUUCGAUACUGCCGUGCUUGAGGACUGGAGAGGAGACUGGAAUUUACGGUGUAGCGGUGAAAUGCGUAGAUAUCGUAAGGAAGACCAGUGGCGAAGGCGGGUCUCUGGACAGUUCCUGACGCUGAGGCACGAAGGUCAGGGGAGCAAACGGG
rnacentral:rRNA from 1 species